GACGAACGCUGGCGGCGUGCCUAAUACAUGCAAGUUGAGCGAUGAAGCUUGGUGCUUGCACCAAUUUGAAGAGCAGCGAACGGGUGAGUAACGCGUGGGGAAUCUGCCUUUGAGCGGGGGACAACAUUUGGAAACGAAUGCUAAUACCGCAUAACAACUUUAAACAUAAGUUUUAAGUUUGAAAGAUGCAAUUGCAUCACUCAAAGAUGAUCCCGCGUUGUAUUAGCUAGUUGGUGAGGUAAAGGCUCACCAAGGCGAUGAUACAUAGCCGACCUGAGAGGGUGAUCGGCCACAUUGGGACCUGGACAAGGCCCAAACUCCUACGGGAGGCAGCAGUAGGGAAUCUUCGGCAAUGGACGAAAGUCUGACCGAGCAACGCCGCGUGAGUGAAGAAGGUUUUCGGAUCGGAAAACUCUGUUGGUAGAGAAGAACGUUGGUGAGAGUGGAAAGCUCAUCAAGUGACGGUAACUACCCAGAAAGGGACGGCUAACUACGUG
rnacentral:rRNA from 1 species